UCGUGGUGUAAUGAAUAGCACACUCGGCUCACAACCGAGAGAUCCCAGGAUCGAAUCUUGGGCGAGGAAAA